UCGAGGAUCAUUCGGCAAUGGGGGGAAACCCUGACGAUGCGACGCUGCGUGGAGGAUGAAGGCCCUCGGGUCGUAAACUCCUGUCAUGACGGAAAAGGAGAGGGGACCCAACACGUCCCUUAUUUGAUGGUACGUCAAGAGGAAGAGACGGCUAACUCUGUGCCAGCAGCCGCGGUAAUACAGAGGUCUCUAGCGUUGUUCGGAUUUACUGGGCGUAAAGGGCGCGUAGGCGGCAUGGCGUGUCGGAUGUGAAAUCCCCGGGCUCAACCCGGGAAGUGCGUCCGAAACUGCCAGGCUAGAGUGCGGAAUGGGAGAUCGGAAUGCAGGGUGUAGCGGUGAAAUGCGUUGAUAUCCUGCAGAACACCGGCGGCGAAGGCGGAUCUCUGGUACGCAACUGACGCUCAGGCGCGAAAGUCGGGGG
rnacentral:rRNA from 1 species